rnacentral:tRNA from 1 species
GUUUUAGCUCAGUGGUAGAGCACUUGCCUAGCAUGUGUGAGGCAUUGGGUUCGAUUCUCAGCAUACA